UCGAGCGAUGAAGCUCCUUCGGGAGUGGAUUAGCGGCGGACGGGUGAGUAACACGUGGGUAACCUGCCUCAUAGAGGGGAAUAGCCUUUCGAAAGGAAGAUUAAUACCGCAUAAGAUUGUAGUGCCGCAUGGCAUAGCAAUUAAAGGAGUAAUCCGCUAUGAGAUGGACCCGCGUCGCAUUAGCUAGUUGGUGAGGUAACGGCUCACCAAGGCGACGAUGCGUAGCCGACCUGAGAGGGUGAUCGGCCACAUUGGGACUGAGACACGGCCCAGACUCCUACGGGAGGCAGCAGUGGGGAAUAUUGCACAAUGGGGGAAACCCUGAUGCAGCAACGCCGCGUGAGUGAUGACGGUCUUCGGAUUGUAAAGCUCUGUCUUCAGGGACGAUAAUGACGGUACCUGAGGAGGAAGCCACGGCUAACUACGUGCCAGCAGCCGCGGUAAUACGUAGGUGGCAAGCGUUGUCCGGAUUUACUGGGCGUAAAGGGAGCGUAGGUGGAUAUUUAAGUGGGAUGUGAAAUACUCGGGCUUAACCUGGGUGCUGCAUUCCAAACUGGAUAUCUAGAGUGCAGGAGAGGAAAGUAGAAUUCCUAGUGUAGCGGUGAAAUGCGUAGAGAUUAGGAAGAAUACCAGUGGCGAAGGCGACUUUCUGGACUGUAACUGACACUGAGGCUCGAAAAGCGUGGGGGAGCAAACAGGAUUAGAUAC
rnacentral:rRNA from 1 species